rnacentral:rRNA from 1 species
GUGCGAAGGUAGCGCAAUCACUUGUCUUUUAAAUGGAGACCUGUAUGAAUGGCAUAACGAGGGCUUAACUGUCUCCUCUUUCAAGUCAAUGAAAUUGAUCUCCCCGUGCAGAAGCGGGGAUAAAACCAUAAGACGAGAAGACCCUAUGGAGCUUUAGACACCAAGGCGGCCCACAGUUAAUAACACCAAAACAAAGGACCAAACAACACAACACUCCGCCCUAAUGUCUUUGGUUGGGGCGACCGCGGGGUAGUACAAAACUCCCGCGUGGAACGAGAGGACUUCCCUCUUACAGCUAAGAGCUACCGCUCUAAGAAACAGAAUUUCUGACCUAUUAGAUCCGGCUUACGCCGAUCAACGGAACGAGUUACCCUAGGGAUAACAGCGCAAUCCCCUUUUAGAGCCCAUAUCGACAAGGGGGUUUACGACCUCGAUGUUGGAUCAGGACAUCCUAAUGGUGCAGCCGCU